rnacentral:lncRNA from 1 species
GUGAUGUUCUGGAAGGAAGGUACCUAGACUUUGUGGUCCCUGCCAGGAAGUGGAGAGUGGAAAUGUGGAAUGCCUCACACUCCUCAACUAGAAUUCCCGUACUGAUUAGUCAACAGUGGAAAAUCUGAAGAGAUGCAAGCAGGAAAAAGAAAUUAAACCAGGCUGGACGAGAGACCUUCUGUCCCCUCCCAGAGGGGGAACCCUGGCACUGGCCCAGCAGCCUCUUCUCUGAGCUCCAUGUCCCAGAUAAACCAGGCCAGACUGAGAAGGCUCCCCAGAGGCCUCUGUGGCCUCCACUCCGGGAAAGCCCUCUGCCCACACCCACAGGCUUCACAUUCCCACCACCUUCGCACCGUGCCCAGGUACACUUUCAAGACACUGUAACCACAAGAUGUUAUUUAUUGAGCUGGCGCCGGGACUUGGGCGGGGCCUGCCCUACAGUGAGCAGCCCACACAGGAACGCUCCUCUCGCGAGCGGCCCGGGCAGGGACCCUGUCCCAACACCAACACCUCCUCUCCAGCCCAAUCUUCUGGGUCCAGACCUGCUUGUCCCUUUUUUAGAAAACACUUUUAAACUUUUUAAAAAUUUUAAACCUUUUUUCAGCAGAUAUGGAGAGAGCUGACAAUCAAUUCACAUUUUUUAAGCCAUUUUAGCUAAACUGUCAUUGUGCAUCUCUGAGGUUCCCUCAUGGAGCUCCACAGAUCCAUUUUUAGGGAAGGGAUUUUGGCUCAAAACGAUCUGACCACCUCUGCCCUGUCCACCAGGAUAAGUGACACCUAGGACCCAGGAAAUAAAUGCCGAUGAUUUGUGUG